UAGUGACUUAGGGUCAUACAGACUAACACUUAGAGGGAGGAGUUAAAGAGUUUGAUGGCCACAGGCAGGAAAGACUUCCUGUUAAGGUAAGAUUAAGCCUUUUGGGAACAAAUGCAAGCCAAUACAAUGUUCUCACAAGUGACAAAAACAAGUGUGUGUGUGUGUGUGUGUGUUUGUGUGUUGGUAUGACAGAUGUGUAUAGAAAUGAAUGUCAGUCUUGGAAAAUCAAUUAGCUUUAGCGUACAUCCAUCACAGUCUCAUACAGUAACUGUCAGAAUGAACCUGGUCAAAGGUUGUACCAUAUGCUGCAAUAAUCUCAGAGCACUGACAAAGCAAGCAGCCCACGCAGCACUUCUCUAUCUCCCUGUCUCUCGCUCUUUCACUCAUCUGUAUUAAUCAAAAUACUGUAAAAACAAAAAAUAGCAAAGCAUGUCUCACGCAUAACUGCAUUUUUAGCAUGUUGACGGCACUUCUGCAGCUGUGACCACUGCCAAAUCUGUCAACAAAAGCAUAUAGGGUGUGGACACUGCCCUUCUGGUGCCAGUGCAACAUUAUGUGAUGAAAAUACAUAAUUAUGUGAUAAGACACUAAAAUAAUCCAUGUGUGGAUCCAUAGUAGUAGACAUACAUUUGUACAUUAGAAAAGUGAGAAAAUUAGUCCAAAAAUUGGAUACUGUUGUCAGCUGUCAAGGAUAAAUAUUCUGUUAGUAAAAGUUGUCAUCAAGUUGAAGUUUAUUUAUUAAGUUUGAAGAGUUUUGUAGCAUGAAACAUGAAAUCAAAAUAAUAAAACAUUAAACCAAAGUAGCAGAAAACAAAGAGGUGAUUCAAAUCUUUCUACAGUAUUUUAACUUUUCUGGAAGCAUUUUUAUAUCAUCCUCUGUGGAUUCAAACAGUUGAAGCAGGCUCAACGUUUGCUGUAUUGUAGUUCAACAUUGCAAGUGCACAUUCCUGGUUUGAAAGAUUCCACCUUCCUGGCGAAUUUCUUUGAACGGCACACCAAUGAAGCCUCCUGUGUUUUCUAAACGCACUUUAUUUUAAAAUGGCUACACAGAAUUAAGCAUUUUCGCUGGAUGCAUCUCAAAAUGCUACCAGUGCCAGUACAUGAUGAAAGGAAAGGCACUGUACAAAUACUGUCUUAACCAAUCUUUCAUUGUGUGCAGGCGCGUGUGAGCACAUUGCUCAGCCUGAGUCAGCGUGGUUACAGAGGCCAGCACACGUCAGUGAUGAAGUCACUGCUGACGCCCACUUAACGACGUAGAAAAAUGUUGCCUGAGUGAGAACAAGGGUCCAAGUGGCAGCAAGCCCUCUACAGUACUGUAAUACCAAGAAGUCCUCCAAGGUGAUGUCUGGACUUUACUACCAAGAAAUCCUCAAAGAACUGCAUGGACUGGCACCCGGUUACAUCUCUGAACUGCUCAUCCCUGAUUGCACCUCCCGACCCCUCAGAUCUGGUGACCAAUCAUUGCUCUCCAUUCCACGCACCCAGUUAAAAAUUAAAGGUGAUCGAG